GAGACGUAACCGAUACUGAACCUCUUGGUUCUACAGAUUUAACAGAUUAUUCUCUAAGAAAAUGUGGGAACUGGGAACAAGUAGAAGGUCCUUCACCAUAAUGUGGGACUCCGAUGGGGAACCCAAAGUGGCAGAUGCUUAACGAACCCCCCACGCCCCAUCCCAUCUCUCCGGAGUCUUCCGUGUGAAUCACCCACAACAACACCAAGGCUUCGACCACACGCACCGCAGGAGACAACACACCUGUUGAUACCACAUCUUCAACAAACAGAAGAUGCAGAAACCCUGUUUCACCUGAUGCUGUCAAUGAAUUAUGAAGACGUAACCAUGACAAUCAAUAUGGAGCCUCCAGGGCUUCUUUAAAGACAACAGAGAGUAUCUUGCAUGUGGACCAAGAUGUUGAGAUAGGAUCCAGCCCACCAGGACCCUGCAGAGGACAAGCAUGUUUGGAGAAUAGAUGGAGGCACUGG